rnacentral:misc_RNA from 1 species
GAUGAAGAACGCAGCGAAAUGCGAUACGUAGUGUGAAUUGCAGAAUUCAGUGAAUCAUCGAAUCUUUGAACGCACAUUGCACCUCUCGGUAUUCCGGGAGGUAUGCCUGUUCGAGCGUCAUUUCACCACUCAAGCCUCGCUUGGUAUUGGGCAACGCGGUCCGCCGCGUGCCUCAAAUCGACCGGCUGGGUCUUCUGUCCCCUAAGCGUUGUGGAAACUUUCGCUAAAGGGUGUUCGGGAGGCUACGCCGUAAAACAACCCCAUUUCUAAGGUUGACCUCGGAUCAGGUAGGGAUACCCGCUGAACUUAAGCAUAUCAAUAAGCGGAGGA